UACGAAGGGGGCUAGCGUUGCUCGGAAUCACUGGGCGUAAAGCGCACGUAGGCGGAUUGCUAAGUCAGGGGUGAAAUCCUGGAGCUCAACUCCAGAACUGCCCUUGAUACUGGCGGUCUCGAGUCCGGGAGAGGUGAGUGGAACUGCGAGUGUAGAGGUGAAAUUCGUAGAUAUUCGCAAGAACACCAGUGGCGAAGGCGGCUCACUGGCCCGGUACUGACGCUGAGGUGCGAAAGCGUGGGGAGCAAACAGGAUUAGAUACCCUG
rnacentral:rRNA from 1 species